rnacentral:tRNA from 1 species
GGGCGUAGCUCAGUUGGUUAGAGCGCCAGAUUGUGGCCCUGGAGGUCGUGAGUUCGAUUCUCGUCGCC